GGAGUUAGCCGGUGCUUCUUCUGUGAGUGAUGUCCUUCCUGCCGGCUAUUAACCCGCAGGCCUUCUUCCUCACUGAAAGUGCUUUACAACCCGAAGGCCUUCUUCACACACGCGGCAUGGCUGGAUCAGGGUUGCCCCCAUUGUCCAAUAUUCCACACUGCUGCCUCCCGUAGGAGUCUGGGCCGUGUCUCAGUCCCAGUGUGGCUGAUCAUCCUCUCAGACCAGCUACGGAUCGUCGCCUUGGUGAGCCGUUACCUCACCAACCAGCUAAUCCGACAUAGGCUCAUCCGAUAGCGCGAGGCCCGAAGGUCCCCCGCUUUCCCCCGUAGGGCGUAUGCGGUAUUAGCCUGGGUUUCCCCAGGUUAUCCCCCACUACCGGGCAGAUUCCUAUGCAUUACUCACCCGUCCGCCGCUCGCCACCAGGGAGCAAGCUCCCCGUGCUGCCGCUCGACUUGCAUGUGUUAGGCCUGCCGCCAGCGUUCAAUCUGAGCCAGAAUCGAACCCUGA
rnacentral:rRNA from 1 species